GCUGGCGGCAGGCCUAACACAUGCAAGUCGAACGGAGUUAUAUUGUAGCUUGCUAUGGUAUAACUUAGUGGCAGACGGGUGAGUAAUGUAUAGGAAUCUACCUAGUAGUACGGAAUAAUUGUUGGAAACGGCAACUAAUACCGUAUACGCCCUACGGGGGAAAAAUUUAUUGCUAUUAGAUGAGCCUAUAUUAGAUUAGCUAGUUGGUGGAGUAAUAGCCUACCAAGGCAAUGAUCUAUAGCUGAUCUGAGAGGAUGAUCAGCCACACUGGAACUGAGAUACGGUCCAGACUCCUACGGGAGGCAGCAGUGGGGAAUAUUGGACAAUGGGCGAAAGCCUGAUCCAGCCAUGCCGCAUGAGUGAAGAAGGCCUUUGGGUUGUAAAGCUCUUUUAGUGAGGAAGAUAAUGACGGUACUCACAGAAGAAGUCCUGGCUAACUCCGUGCCAGCAGCCGCGGUAAUACGGAGAGGGCUAGCGUUAUUCGGAAUUAUUGGGCGUAAAGGGCGCGUAGGCGGAUUAGUAAGUUAAAAGUGAAAUCCCAAGGCUCAACCUUGGAAUUGCUUUUAAAACUGCUAAUCUAGAGAUUGAAAGAGGAUAGAGGAAUUCCUAGUGUAGAGGUGAAAUUCGUAAAUAUUAGGAGGAACACCAGUGGCGAAGGCGUCUAUCUGGUUCAAAUCUGACGCUGAGGCGCGAAGGCGUGGGGAGCAAACAGGAUUAGAUACCCUGGUAGUCCACGCUGUAAACGAUGAAUGUUAAAUAUGGGAAGUUUUACUUUCUGUAUUACAGCU
rnacentral:rRNA from 1 species